GACAGAGGGUGCAAACGUUGUUCGGAAUUACUGGGCGUAAAGCGUGUGUAGGCGGCCAUGUAAGUCGGAUGUGAAAGCCCCGGGCUCAACCCGGGAAGUGCACUCGAUACUGCGUGGCUUGAGUACCGGAGAGGUUGGUGGAAUUCUCGGUGUAGAGGUGAAAUUCGUAGAUAUCGAGAGGAACACCGGUGGCGAAGGCGGCCAACUGGACGGAUACUGACGCUGAGACACGAAAGCGUGGGGAGCAAACAGG
rnacentral:rRNA from 1 species